UACGUAGGUGGCAAGCGUUGUCCGGAUUUACUGGGCGUAAAGAGCGCGCAGGCGGUCGUUCAAGUCGCGUGUGAAAGCCCCCGGCUCAACUGGGGAGGGUCACGCGAUACUGAUCGACUCGAAGGCAGGAGAGGGAAGUGGAAUUCCCGGUGUAGUGGUGAAAUGCGUAGAUAUCUGGAGGAACACCGGUGGCGAAGGCGGCAUCCUGGACCGAGAUUGACGCUGAGGCGCGAAAGCCAGGGGAGCAAACGGG
rnacentral:rRNA from 1 species